rnacentral:rRNA from 1 species
UACGUAGGGUGCAAGCGUUGUCCGGAAUUGAUUGGCGUAAAGAGCUCGUAGGCGGUCUGUCGCGUCUGCUGUGAAACUCAGGGCUUAACCCUGAGCUUGCAGUGGGUACGGGCAGACUAGAGUGCGGUAGGGGAGACUGGAAUUCCGUGGUGUAGCGGUGAAAUGCGCAGAUAUCAGGAGGAACACCGGUGGCGAAGGCGGGUCUCUGGGCAGUAACUGACGCUGAGGAGCGAAAGCGUGGGGAGCGAACCGG